rnacentral:lncRNA from 1 species
CAGAGGUACUUGCGGUUUCCGGUUAAUUAAAAACACACAUUAGUGCGCCUACGCAGUAGAUCAAGUUCUGACUGAGUGAUUGAUGGAGAGGAAUGUUUAUUGUGAGACCUCUGUUAGCAAAAUUAAGAAUUCAGUCCUCCACUCUGAUCAGUCUGAGCCCUGCUGUUCAAACCCAGCUUGCCAUUUUGAUUGUUCACUAUACUUGCUUCGAAACAUGUGCCAAUUUACAGCUGCUGAGAGCUUUCUUAACUCAUUCUUUUCCCUUUUUUCUGAACUUCUGAAGCCACAGACGUCAUCACCAUCUCCAAAAAUAUUGGGACGGGAAACAAGAUAUACAAAGCCUGGAUUUAUUAGACCAGUCACUGCAACAUCCAGAUUUAAAGAUGAUGAAGAAUUCCACCCUAAUCCUUUCAUCUAAUCGUUACCAAUACAAGUUUGUCAGCAGUGCGCUCUGUGGUGAAACCCAAGCAGAAGGUAGAGCUGCUUCAGACCGGCAGCCAGCUUGUGGAGAGGGGCUUCCUUCAGAGCGACAAGAAGACUGUAAGACAAGGCUGGCAUCUCUGAUCACGCAGACCAGGAUCUCCACAGAAGAUGUUCCCACCUCCAUGAACCCGCAGGAGACACACAUAUGAUGCUUACAAGAGAGCCUGAUCCGAUUGUAACUGUGACUGCACAUUAAAAAGCCUAUUAAAGGCAGCAUGUCAAGCAUCUUAAAAGCUAUUCAUUCCUCAAUUCAAGGUGCACAAAUAAAUUGUAUUCUAAACGAAUGAAUUGUAAAAUGAUGCAUGCUUGCAAACUCAAAGUCAGGUUUCACCUCAAAAUAAAAAAUAUGAAAUAAUAAUAGAUCCAUACAGAAUGUUUUUAAUUUUUUCUUGCUGAUUUUGCUGUGAAAUGUGACCAUUUGAUAACGGUUUUCAUAUCAAUCACCCAAUAAGUGCCAAAGAAUAGACAUGUAAUUACUUAGUGCACUUUUAUAUUCAAUCAUCCAGUCAAAUAUUAAUUGCUCUGAAAUUGGCCUUAUGGUCUGCAGCACAUUUACACAGUCGCAGUGCCUUUGGUAUGAUAUGGCCUUUUCAGUUCCUUCAAUAAUAAAUAUAUGCCAUGUUCUCUGUACUGAUUGAACUCAGAAAUGCAAAUUCAUAAUAUAACAGUGUCUAUAAUAAUAUUCAUGUCUAGAUUUUGUGAGUUGUGACAUCCAUCUCUUAUAGCUUCUUUCUCCAAGCACUCAACUCUAAAAUACCCUUCCUUGCAAAAACCCC